GCGCCUCCUGCAGCAGCCCGCCUCCCGCCGGCCAGGAUUGGGAAUUGGCCGAUUCAAUUGGGGAUUUGGUCAUUUGGAUUUUCGGGGAUUUUUGCAAUAUUGUUCAUUUGGUGAUGGAUGGGGGAGCAGAUGAAGCCGUUGUGGGUGGGGGAGAUACAGCUGGAGAUGAGAUCGGUUCAAACAGCGGCGCCACAACUAGGCAAUCAGCUUCAAUUCCAGUAAAGAAGAAGCGCUAUAAGAAACUAGAGUUGAAAAGCUUCUUUGUUUCUAGUAGUAGAAAGUCAUCAAGUGAUAGUAACUCGGGCCCAAGCACUCAUGAAAAUGGUAAUAUUGCUCAAUCUGAAGAACAAGAAGUGCUGCAUUCACUAGAAACUGUACAAGAAAUGCAAGCUGCUGAAAAUGAAGACCAACCAUCACAUUUAUUAUUGAUACUUCCAUUAUUAAAAAGUAACAUCUUGAUUCUUGUUGGUUGUUCUACCAUUUUUGCUCAAAACAUGCAAGCUGUCGUUAGUAGCGAAAAUUUUAGAGUAUGAGUCCGCCCUAGGUGAAUUCUCGGGCUGGCUUCGCCACUGCAAUGUAUCACUGCUGUUAAAUAUCUCAAAUUACUGAUACAUAAUAUGUGUGAUGUGUAAUUGGGUUCAGUUUUUAAUGAAGAUUAGAUGCAGGGUAUUAUGUGUUAA